GAUGAACGCUGGCGGCGUGCCUAAUACAUGCAAGUCGAGCGAACAGACGAGGAGCUUGCUCCUCUGACGUUAGCGGCGGACGGGUGAGUAACACGUGGAUAACCUACCUAUAAGACUUGGAUAAUUUCGGGAAACCGGAGCUAAUACCGGAUGAUAUAUUGAACCGCAUGGUUCAAUAGUGAAAGACGGUUUUGCUGUCGCUUAUAGAUGGAUCCGCGCCGCAUUAGCUAGUUGGUAAGGUAACGGCUUACCAAGGCAACGAUGCGUAGCCGACCUGAGAGGGUGGUCGGCCACACUAGAACUGAGACGCGGCCGCGACUCCUACGGGAGGAAGCAGUAGGGAAUCUUCCGCAAUGGGCGAAAGCCUGACGGAGCAGCGCCGCGUGAGUGAUGAAGGUCUUCGGCUCGUAAAACUCUGCUAUUAGGGAAGAACAAAUGUGUAAGUAACUAUGCACGUCUUGACGGUACCUAAUCAGAAAGCCACGGCUAACUACGUG
rnacentral:rRNA from 1 species